UGGGGAAUUUUGGACAAUGGGCGAAAGCCUGAUCCAGCCAUGCCGCGUGAGUGAAGAAGGCCUUCGGGUUGUAAAGCUCUUUUAGUCGGAAAGAAAGAGUUGCAAUGAAUAAUUGUGAUUUAUGACGGUACCGUCAGAAAAAGCACCGGCUAACUACGUGCCAGCAGCCGCGGUAAUACGUAGGGUGCGAGCGUUAAUCGGAAUUACUGGGCGUAAAGGGUGCGCAGGCGGUUUUGCAAGUCAGAUGUGAAAGCCCCGGGCUUAACCUGGGAAUUGCGUUUGAAACUGUAAGGCUAGAGUGUAGGAGAGGGGAGUGGAAUUCCAUGUGUAGCGGUGAAAUGCGUAGAGAUGUGGAAGAACACCGAUGGCGAAGGCAGCUCCCUGGGUUGACACUGACGCUCAUGCACGAAAGCGUGGGGAGCAAACA
rnacentral:rRNA from 1 species